rfam:Oryza glaberrima chromosome 1 Oglab01_0295_16, whole genome shotgun sequence.
UUUAAGUGCAAUCAUAAAUUUUUACGUCCAACUUUGAUCAUCCGUUUUAUUUGAAUUUUUUUAUUUAGUAUUUUUAUUAUUAUGAGAUGAUAAUACAUGAAUUAUGUAACUCAUGUUUUUAAUUUGUCCAGAAAUUUUUCAAAUAAAACGAACAGUAAAAAUUGUGCACGGAAAAUCAUGGUUGUACUUCAA